CUUACUUACCUGCAAUUUGCAAUGAAUAAAGAUUGAAAAUUGAUAAAACUUUAGUAAGCGUGUGAAUAAUAAAAGUAGCAAUACAGGAAUAACAUACCUAAUAUACUGACAAAACCCACAAAUAUAAGUACAACAAUAAGUAAGCAAAUUCUGCAGGAUCUAUAUACUACCAAGUAUCAACAUCGUGGUUUCCAUAGAAACAUAUCUGCCUAAACACGCUUUGCUUUGGGUACAUCGGCUCUUCCUUUUUUUAAGCUAAAGCCUAGGGAUUUUGUUUUAAUUAAUAAAUUAUCUAGUGAAAACUAUAACAAUAGUUCCAAGUAAUUAUAAUUGGUUAAUGAUUUGCUUUAUCAAAUUGAAUAAUAAUAAUAAAACGAAUGGAACUGAAAAAUAAUUACCAAGGUAGGUACAUAGACAAAGCAUUUAGUGUAAGUAAUUAUUUUCUAUUUAUGUAGGUAUCUAACAAUAAUUUGCAAUGACACAUACAUGCACACAUUUAUCAUUGCCGAUAAUACCUAAUUUAUAAUAGAUAACAAUAAUUCAAUAAUUGAUUGAAGAUUUGUAGUCCUAUAUUUCACAUUUUCAACUGCCUUAGUUUAGAAAAAAGUAAGGUUUUAACUUAGGUACCUAUGUCGUAAAUAUCUCGCGGAGUCGUUUAAAAGAAUUUAAAUGAGAUCAUCACGAAGAAGAUAUGGGCUGCCCUCAGCCUUCCAAAUGGUCCUUCCGCCUGCUAGUACACCACCCGGCAACUCU
rnacentral:lncRNA from 1 species